rnacentral:rRNA from 2 species
GAUGAACGCUGGCGGCGCGCCUAACACAUGCAAGUCGAACGGUUAAAGCACCUUUUAGGUGUGUAUAAAGUGGCGAACGGCUGAGUAACACGUGGGCAACCUGCCCUCCUCUUGGGGAUAGCCUCGGGAAACCGAGGAUAAUACCCGAUACUUCAAUGUGGCCGCAUGGCGACAUUGAGAAAGCUUUUGCGGAGAAGGAUGGGCCCGCGGCCUGUUAGCUUGUUGGUGGGGUAGAGGCCUACCAAGGCAAUGAUGGGUAGCUGGGUUGAGAGACCGACCAGCCAGAUUGGGACUGAGACACGGCCCAGACUCCUACGGGAGGCAGCAGUGGGGAAUCUUGCACAAUGGGCGAAAGCCUGAUGCAGCGACGCCGCGCGCGGGACGAAGGCCUUCGGGUUGUAAACCGCUUUCAGCAGGGACGAGGCGAUAAGUGACGGUACC